GUGGGGAAUCUUCCGCAAUGGACGAAAGUCUGACGGAGCAACGCCGCGUGAGUGAUGAAGGUCUUCGGAUUGUAAAACUCUGUUGUCAGGGACGAAUGUGCGAACGUUGAAUAAGCGUUUGUAUUGACGGUACCUGACGAGGAAGCCACGGCUAACUACGUGCCAGCAGCCGCGGUAAUACGUAGGUGGCAAGCGUUGUCCGGAAUUAUUGGGCGUAAAGAGCAUGUAGGCGGGCUUUUAAGUCCGACGUGAAAAUGCGGGGCUUAACCCCGUAUGGCGUUGGAUACUGGAAGUCUUGAGUGCAGGAGAGGAAAGGGGAAUUCCCAGUGUAGCGGUGAAAUGCGUAGAUAUUGGGAGGAACACCAGUGGCGAAGGCGCCUUUCUGGACUGUGUCUGACGCUGAGAUGCGAAAGCCAGGGUAGCAAACGGGAUUAGAAACCCCGGUAGUCC
rnacentral:rRNA from 1 species